GCUGGGUGUGGUAGCGUGCGCCUGUAGUCCCAGCUACUUGGGAGGCUGAGGCAGGAGAAUCGCUUGAACCUGGGAGGUGGAGGUUGCAGUGAGCCGAGAAUGUGCCACUGCCCUCCAGCCUGGCUGACAGAGCGAGACUCUGUCUCAA
ensembl:misc_RNA Metazoa_SRP Metazoan signal recognition particle RNA